UACAGAGGGUGCGAGCGUUAUCCGGAAUCACUGGGCGUAAAGGGCUCGUAGGCGGCCAACUAAGUCAUACGUGAAAUCCCUCAGCUUAACUGGGGAACUGCGUGUGAUACUGGAUGGCUUGGAUUUGGGAGAGGGAUGCGGAAUUCCAGGUGUAGCGGUGAAAUGCGUAGAUAUCUGGAGGAACACCGGUGGCGAAGGCGGCAUCCUGGACCAAUAUUGACGCUGAGGAGCGAAAGCUAGGGGAGCAAACGGG
rnacentral:rRNA from 1 species